GACGAACGCUGGCGGCAUGCCUUACACAUGCAAGUCGAACGGCAGCACGGGGCAACCUGGUGGCGAGUGGCGAACGGGUGAGUAAUGCAUCGGAACGUACCUUUCAGUGGGGGAUAACGUAGCGAAAGUUACGCUAAUACCGCAUAUUCUGUGAGCAGGAAAGCAGGGGAUCGCAAGACCUUGCGCUGAUUGAGCGGCCGAUGUCAGAUUAGCUAGUUGGUGAGGUAAAGGCUCACCAAGGCGACGAUCUGUAGCGGGUCUGAGAGGAUGAUCCGCCACAGUGGAACUGAGACACGGUCCAGACUCCUACGGGAGGCAGCAGUGGGGAAUUUUGGACAAUGAGGGCAACCCUGAUCCAGCCAUGCCGCGUGAGUGAAGAAGGCCUUCGGGUUGUAAAGCUCUUUCGGCCGGGAAGAAAUCGCACGGGCUAAUACCCUGUGUGGAUGACGGUACCGGAAUAAGAAGCACCGGCUAACUACGUGCCAGCAGCCGCAGUAAAAC
rnacentral:rRNA from 1 species